ensembl:misc_RNA Metazoa_SRP Metazoan signal recognition particle RNA
GCCAGGCAUAGUGGCACAUGCCUAUGGUCCCAGCUACUCAGGAGGCUGAGGUGGGAGGAUCACUUGAGCCCAGGAGAUCGAGACUGCAGUGAGCUGUGAUUGUGCCACUGCACUCUAGCCUGGGUGACAGAGUGAGACCCUGCCUCAA